rnacentral:tRNA from 1 species
GCCUGGGUGGCUCAGUCAGUUGAGCGUCCGACUUCAGAUCAGGUCAUGGUCUCAGUUUUUGGGUUUGAGUCCCAUGUCAGGCU